UACGGGGGGGAGCAAGCGUUGUUCGGAUUUACUGGGCGUAAAGGGCGCGUAGGCGGUCGUGACAAGUCACUUGUGAAAUCUCCGGGCUUAACUCGGAACGGUCAAGUGAUACUGUCGGACUAGAGUACAGAAGGGGCAACUGGAAUUCUCGGUGUAGCGGUGAAAAUGCGUAGAUAUCGGGAGGAACACCAGUGGCGAAGGCGGCUCACUGGACCGGCAUUGACGCUGAGGUGCGAAAGCGUGGGGAGCAAACAGG
rnacentral:rRNA from 1 species